UACGGAGGGUGCGAGCGUUGUCCGGAAUCACUGGGCGUAAAGGGCGCGUAGGCGGCGCGGUGAGUCAACGGUGAAAGCUCGGCGCUCAACGCCGAGUCGGCCGUCGAUACUCCCGUGCUCGAGCACUGUAGAGGCAGGUGGAAUUCCGGGUGUAGCGGUGGAAUGCGUAGAGAUCCGGAAGAACACCGGUGGCGAAGGCGGCCUGCUGGGCAGUAGCUGACGCUGAGGCGCGACAGCGUGGGGAGCAAACGGG
rnacentral:rRNA from 1 species